CUGGGAAAAGGGGCUCGGCGAGGCGGUGUGCGCGGUGACUCAGCGCAGAGGUCGCCUCCGCGCCCGGUCUCCGGGCUUUGCCCGCUGUGCCCUCCUUGGGCCUCAGCCGUCCUGUGCGCUGUUCGGCUGCUGGAAGCCCUGAGUGUCUCGAAAGUUUUGAUUUGGCACCGGGAAGGGCUUUGAAGUUGCUCAGAGUUAGGGGAGAGACCACCGGUUUCCGGAGGCCUUUGGGGGACGUGAAGAACGUCAGAGAGAUUGGUGUUGGCAGUUACCAGGUUGCGGUUUGCACCUGCGGCCAGCCCGGGGACUGAGAUUUGAAAAGAUUGUCUUACCUCCCUUACCCCGCCAGAAGCUCAGAGCAUUUGGUAUCCAAACUGCCCUUUCCUCCUGUCCUUGAGGAUUAGAAACCCAGUCCUCCCUUGGCACUUUGCGCUACCUCUGUCUGGAUAAGGAAACCGACUAGUGAAACAACUUGAGGAAUGGAGAUGUAAACAGCUAAGCUGCCACCUGCCUCUCCGGGACCGUAUCUUGUGUAUGGUACUUCCUCUGUGGAUGUUUGUGCAAUGGAUGGAUGAAUGAAUGAAUGAGGAGCAAACACACAUAGGAUUAGAUGGUGCAUCUCCCUGAAGAUCCUUAGUGUGCCUGUUCUCCAUGGGACCGGAGGCUCUCUGCAAAGAAACUCUCAAGUCACCAGCUGCUAAGGCCAGCUGGGAGGAGCCUAGCUCGUCUCAGCCGAGUUCUCGUGUAGGCCCAAAGACUAGAUCCAACGUCGAAGGAUGUGGUUUUUUGGCUUCCAAAUCAGGUAGGUAACUCUGGGUAAGUCACUUCAGCUCUCUAUGCCUCCGUAUCCUCAUGUGUA